AGGGUUUGAAUGGGUCUCCAAGACUCCAACCCAUUGAAUUGCACUAACUGUUUUACCCAUUGAAUUCUGAAUUGCACUAAUUAAAAAAAAAAAAAAAAAAAAAAAAACACGAAAGAACGUAGCCCUAUUUUCUCAGUUCUCCAUUGAAGCGCACUUGACGUUCUCCAUUGAAGCGAGGCGCCUUCUAAUACUUGUAUCAUCCAUUGAAACAGUGGUGAAAGGUGUUGUUUGUUUGUUUAUCGAUUGAGAGUAGACGACGUAUAUUUGAUACAAUGAAGAGGCCUUUGGAGGAAGUUGCCAGUGUGGUUGCCUCAGCUGCUGUGGCGAAUACCAGCUCUAGUAAUGCGAAGCCGGUUUUCUUGACUAAAGACCAGAGAGAGCAGUUAGCUUUACAAAAACGCCAAGAAGAAGUUGCUGAACAGAGACGUCGUGCUGAGGAGUUGCUUCAGAGUCGAUCUGUUGAUAACAGACCCUCUGAUUCUUCUCACCACCGCUCUUCCCGCGACCAUGACCGUGAUCGUGACCGCGAUCAUGACCGUUACCGUGACCGUGUGAGAGAAAGAGAAAGGGACCGUGAUCGGGAGAGAGAUCGUGAAAUUGAAAGAAGGAAUCGUGACAAGGAACGCGAAGAGGAGAGCAAAACUAGGGAUCGUGCUAGGCUGGAGAAGUUGACGGAAAGGGAGAGGGAAAAGGAACUGGAGCUUAUCAAAGAGCAGUAUCUAGGUUCCAAGAAACCUAAGAAGCGUGUGAUCAAGCCUAGUGAGAAAUUUCGCUUUUCCUUUGAUUGGGAGAACACUGAGGACACCUCUCGCGACAUGAAUGCUCUCUAUCAAAACCCUCAUGAGGCUCAGCUGCUGUUUGGUAGAGGGUUCCGAGCGGGAAUAGAUCGUAGGGAGCAGAAGAAGCUAGCUGUUAAAAAUGAAGUUGAGUUGCGUGAGGAAAUUCGCAAAAAGGAUGGCACUGAAGAGGCACCUGAGGAGGCUGCUGCUCAACGUCGCCGGGAGCAAGCUGCUGAAGUGUAUGAGGAUCAUGAUAUGAGGGUAGACCGCCACUGGUCUGACAAGAGGCUUGAAGAAAUGACUGAAAGGGACUGGAGAAUUUUCAGGGAGGACUUCAAUAUAUCUUACAAGGGGUCUAAGAUUCCUAAACCAAUGAGGAAUUGGGUAGAGAGUAAACUGACUUCAGAGCUGUUGAAAGCUGUGGACCGAGCUGGCUAUAAGACUCCAUCCCCUAUCCAGAUGGCAGCUAUUCCUUUAGGACUUCAACAGCGAGAUGUCAUUGGUGUUGCGGAGACUGGUUCGGGUAAGACUGCUGCUUUUGUUCUCCCUAUGUUGGCUUAUAUAACUAGGCUGCCACCAAUUACUGAAGAGAAUGAAGCUGAGGGUCCUUAUGCUGUUGUUAUGGCCCCUACUCGUGAAUUAGCUCAACAGAUUGAAGAGGAGACUGUUAAGUUUGCCCACUAUCUGGGGAUUAAGGUUGUCUCCAUUGUUGGUGGACAAUCCAUUGAGGAGCAGGGAUUCAAAAUUAGACAAGGGUGUGAAAUUGUUAUUGCAACCCCUGGACGUCUCUUGGAUUGUCUGGAAAGGCGUUAUGUUGUUCUGAACCAGUGCAAUUAUGUUGUUCUUGAUGAAGCUGAUCGAAUGAUAGAUAUGGGUUUUGAGCCUCAGGUUGUUGGUGUGUUGGAUGCAAUGCCUUCAAGUAAUAUGAAGCCUGAGAAUGAAGAAGAGGAGCUUGAUGCAAAAAAGAUUUACCGGACAACCUAUAUGUUUAGUGCCACUAUGCCACCUGCUGUAGAGCGGCUUGCCAGGAAGUACUUGAGGAAUCCUGUGGUGGUGACUAUUGGUACGGCUGGAAAAACUACUGACCUCAUCACACAACAUGUGAUCAUGACAAAGGAAUCAGAAAAAACUUACAAGCUGCAAAAACACCUUGAUGAGUUGGGUGAUAAGACAGCUAUAGUGUUUGUUAACACCAAGAAGACUGCUGAUGUGCUUUCCAAAAAUUUGGACAAAUCAGGUUAUCGAGUCACAACAUUGCAUGGUGGAAAAUCACAGGAACAAAGAGAAAUCAGUCUGGAAGGUUUCAGGACCAAGAGGUACAAUGUAAUGGUUGCCACAGAUGUUGCUGGACGUGGUAUUGAUAUACCUGAUGUUGCUCAUGUAAUCAACUAUGAUAUGCCGGGGAAUAUUGAGAUGUACACCCAUCGUAUUGGCCGAACUGGGAGAGCAGGAAAAACUGGUGUGGCGACCACCUUUUUGACUUUGCAUGAUACUGAUGUCUUCUAUGAUUUGAAGCAGAUGCUCAUUCAGAGUAAUAGUCCUGUUCCGCCUGAACUUGCAAGACAUGAAUCUGCAAAAUUCAAACCUGGAUCAGUUCCUGAUAGACCUCCAAGACGCAAUGAGACUGUUUUUGUGCAUUGAUAAUUCUGCCUCUUCAGGACAUUGUUUUGAAUUUUGAUAAAGUUUCUCUGGAAUGUACUUAAAUGUCUAUGGAAUUCUGCAUUGGAAUUUCAUUCCUUUUACCCUUUGGAAGUGUGAACCUGCUGAGUCUCCUUUUGCGGAUGUGAAGGAAGUUGGGUCUGUAAAUCUAUGUUGGCAGCUUCUCGGGUAAUAUGCGGUACUGAAUUAGGUAAUUUGUACUUGUUUUCUUAUCCUUUCUUGCUUAGGAUUACUUUUAUUAUGAUUUUGGACAAGAUAAAGGAAGCUUAGAGGUUUAGACUACUGUUUAACUUAUAUGGAGGGAGGGUAAAUGUUAUAACUUUUAUGUCAAACUUAACUGUGAACCAAUGGAAACCAUUCAAAUGAGAGAGGUUUUGUGCUACUAUUAUACUUGAAUACAGGUUUUAUUUAUUUAUUUAUUUAAUUUUUUUUUUUGUAAUUUUUUUUAAUCAAAAGCCCCACUCAAAGACUCCCAAAAUGAGGGGUAGUAAUCUCUCCAUCCUUCCCUCCUCGCGCCAUCACUGCCUCAUCCCAUUCACCACCACCUGAUUGUCUUUAUUUUGUCUCCUACACCUCUCAUUCAUUAUUCAUUUCCCCCCAAACCAAGCAUGUCCUUAGGGGUGGUUUUUGCUAAAAUAUUACAUG